AUUGAACGCUGGCGGCAUGCUUUACACAUGCAAGUCGAACGGUAACAGGCCUUCGGGUGCUGACGAGUGGCGAACGGGUGAGUAAUGCAUCGGAACGUGCCCAAUCGUGGGGGAUAACGUAGCGAAAGUUACGCUAAUACCGCAUAAGCCCUGGGGGGGAAGUGGGGACCGGCAAGGCCUCACGCGAAUGGAGCGGCCGAUGUCAGAUUAGCUAGUUGGUGGGGUAAAGGCUCACCAAGGCGACGAUCUGUAGCGGGUCUGAGAGGAUGAUCCGCCACACUGGGACUGAGACACGGCCCAGACUCCUACGGGAGGCAGCAGUGGGGGAAUUUUGGACAAUGGGCGCAAGCCUGAUCCAGCCAUGCCGCGUGCGGGACGAAGGCCUUCGGUUGUAACC
rnacentral:rRNA from 1 species